UAUCAUAUAGCGUAGUCUGAUAAGCAUUUUAGCCAGUGUUAAAGUAGUCCAGUUCAAAACAUUUCUCUGAACAAGUCACACAAGGCCAUUUAGAAGACGUGCAACAAGUGACUCAGAAUAAUUGUCGGAGAUGAGCAUCAGCCCUCAUCUUUCACUCACACAGCUGUGCGUAAAAGCGCGCAAACGUUGCGUAAAGGGACCUCGGCACAAGAACCGUGGAUGUUGCUCUCUUCAUCUGAAACUCAGCAGUGAGGUGUGAUCCACUUGCACACAGAUAUUUAUUAUCUGUGUUCCUGGCUAAGUACACACAGUCUGCAGUGAUGGAAACGCUUAAACUUGUUUUCAUUUCUGUGCUGCUUCUGUCAAACGUUUUCUGUCAAGAUAUGGAUGCUGACAUCUGGAGAGAAGACAUCGAGGAGGAAAAAUGGCCAAACUCUAAAGAAAUUCAAGACAUUUUAGUGAGAAUGAUCAGAAAACCAGGAUCUCGCCAACAUCUUGGAUUUAUGGGGAGAAAGGAGUCUGGAAAAACACGGACGGCACGUAAACGGCACAAAUUUCAAACCUUUGUGGGUCUGAUGGGGAAGAGAAGCUCUUGGGAUUAAGGAGCUCUGUGACCCGGCGUCGAUUCAAGGCUGAAGAUCGGAAAGAAAAACUAAAUUUCCAUCCGUGUGAUUUGUCUCCAUUCAACUUUUAUAGUCUGUACAUAUUAUUUAAUGUAUAAAAUAUAUAACAUAUAUAACAAAAAAUAUAACAUUUAGUGCCAUUGAAAAUCGCCCUAACACUUAAAGUGCACAGAGCGACACCUAGUGGUAAAACAGUGUCCUAUAUUGCCACUAUAGAAAUCAUUUAAUAAUUCAAAAUUACCAGAGCACGUGUUUAAAUUGAGGGGCUUUAUAAAAAAAUUAAAUAAAAAGCAUUAUUUUAUGUUUAUGUUUCAGUCACAAAACUGGUGUUCUCCCCACUUCAUAAUGAGCACGUUUUCUCAUAAUAAAUCCAUCUUACUCUUCAAUAUCACAGGUUUAUUAAGUGACUUUGUACAUUACAAAUGAAAAAUAAAAUUAAAAAUACAGAGAUGGAGUACAUAGCCAAAGCAAAA